UACGAAGGGGGCUAGCGUUGCUCGGAAUCACUGGGCGUAGAGCGCACGUAGGCGGCUUUUUAAGUCAGGGGUGAAAUCCUGGAGCUCAACUCCAGAACUGCCUUUGAUACUGAAGAUCUUGAGUUCGGGAGAGGUGAGUGGAACUGCGAGUGUAGAGGUGAAAUUCGUAGAUAUUCGCAAGAACACCAGUGGCGAAGGCGGCUCACUGGCCCGAUACUGACGCUGAGGCACGAAAGCGUGGGGAGCAAACAGG
rnacentral:rRNA from 1 species